GUCCCCAGAGAAGGAGACUCCACAGCCUCCCCGGGCAGCCUGCUGAAGUUGGCACCAAUGAGCAAACUCCUCCACAAAGCCCUUCCCGUAGUGGUAUAUUCUAACUUUCCUCCCAGCCAGACACACCUUUUCCGUCCAUCUCCAGCCCUGCCUCAUCCCUCUGGUAAGGGACUCCAGAAAGGGAGCUGGCAGCAGCCUCUGACACCGGAUCCCAACGCUCGAUCCGCAGUCGGCUAAACAGGAGCCUGAGAACCGAGACCCACCCCGAGCGCUCGGCGGGGCGAGCGCAGCCUCGCUGCCUUAGCUCAUCAGCUGUUGACUCCGGGAGAAGAGACCAGCCCCGACCUCACUACAGCCUCCUCUCAGGGAGCUGCAGAGAGCAGGGAGGGUGCAGAGGAAGAGUGAAAGCAGAAGUACGAAGGAGUCGACUGCCAUUCCGGGGCAGGCUCGACAGCUGUUUGCAGCGGCAUAAAGCACCCUGGGCACGGCUGAGUGAUGCUGCUGGAGUGCCCUCGGCAGUCAAAGCAUGUCCCAAAUAAACAUGUUAGCCAAA